ensembl:snRNA U6 U6 spliceosomal RNA
GAGAAACAGGGCUCUUGCUCAUACACUAAAAUUGGAAGAAUACAGAGAAGAUUAGCAUGGCCCCCACACAAAGGUGACACACAAAUUCAUGAAGUGUCCCAUAGUUUU